UAAGCGGAGGAAAAGAAACUAACAAGGAUUCCCCUAGUAACGGCGAGUGAAGCGGGAAGAGCUCAAAUUUGAAAUCUGGUAGCCUUCGGUUGCCCGAGUUGUAAUCUAGAGAAGUGUUUUCCGCGUUGGCCCAUGUACAAGUCCCUUGGAACAGGGCGUCAUAGAGGGUGAGAAUCCCGUCCUUGACAUGGACCCCCAAUGCUUUGUGAUACACUUUCAACGAGUCGAGUUGUUUGGGAAUGCAGCUCAAAAUGGGUGGUGAAUUCCAUCUAAAGCUAAAUAUUGGCGAGAGACCGAUAGCGAACAAGUACCGUGAGGGAAAGAUGAAAAGCACUUUGGAAAGAGAGUUAAACAGUACGUGAAAUUGUUGAAAGGGAAACGAUUGAAGUCAGUCAUGCUCUUUGGAUUAAGCCGUUCUGCGGUGUAUUUCAUUGAGCGGGGUCAACAUCAGUUUUGAUCGCUGGAAAAGGGCAGGAGGAAGGUAGCACUCUCGGGUGAACUUAUAGCCUCUUGUCGUAGUUGGGACUGAGGAACGCAGCAUGCCUUUUGGCCGGGAUUCGUCCACGUACAUGCUUAGGAUGUGA
rnacentral:rRNA from 1 species